rnacentral:sRNA from 1 species
AGCCCGGCUUAUAAACGCCAUAGGCUGGGUAGUGUGAAGCAAAAAUAUAUUGCUGUGUGUAGUCUUUGCCUGUCAGCCCAUGAUAGGCUUUUUUUUUA